UCCCGCCGGUGAUCAUGUAUGUUCGGAGAAAAAUUCGGUCGUUUGACGUGAAUGACAAGAAUAACGACACGAAUGUUCCCGCUUUUUUUGCGUUUGUUGGUUGUUUACUUUCGUAAAAAAGUUCCAACUAAUUUGAACGAUUAUUGCGAUUAUACUGAACUUUCCUUUGUUUCUUUGUGAAAUAUUGACCAUAUUGUUGCUUAUAGUGUUUUAAAAUAAUACCUGAAAAGCUGUAUUAAUUCCAAUUCAGCGAUUUUAGCUGUAAAGAUGGACGGCCCUAUCAAAUCAUCAGAAUCAGGACCAAACUAUCAACAAAAAUAUGUGCCACUUAUGCAGUAAAAUGUUUUCUUCCAUUUUAGCUAAGAACAAACAUAUUAAAGUUAUUCAUAAGCAGCAGCUCCCAGAUAACCCAAAGUCACAGAUUUCUUGUCCCUUAUGCAAAGAGAUUAAGUAUUCUUGUGAGACUUAUCAAAGACUUGAAGCUCAUUUACAGGUAAGUCAUGAUAUCAAAAUAGAGUCCUCAACUUUCCAUUUUUCCAGCGAAGAAAUAUUUGAGGAAUGGUUAAGAGAGCAUAAAAUAAGCACAAACUAUGCACUCGUUCUCACAAGAAAAAUUGAAGACAAGAUUGAAAAAGUACAUUGUUGCAAUCGAAGCGAUUUUAGACGUAAAUUUGUAGCAAUUUCAAUUCUAGCAAAGUAUUUAUUACAUACUGUACAUAUUCAUUGUACUAUUUAAUGAAGGAUUGUUAAACAUGUACUUAAUGUGUAGCUGGUGCAGGUGCAAGGGGCCUGGAUGAUCACCAGUAGCAUGGCUGUGAACUCUUUGGGGAAUGUCUUCCAAUAAUAUUGAAGCUAGCCAUAGUCUAGAAAUUGAAACUUUUGUUAAUGAGAAGACGACUGAAAAUUAACAAGUAGCAGUACAACGAUCGAACAAGCAAUCAACAAGAGAAAUUGAAAUUGAAAGUGUAUCAAACUUUUUAAAAUCUUUAAAUGAUGAAUCUUAUGAUAAGUGCAUGAGACAACUGACAUCCAUGAUGGAACAAAUAAAUAAGGCAAAUACAAGUAAACAAAAAAUGGACAAACAAGUUUAUUUUCCAUCAAAGAAGAAGAAGGAGCAGUAAAUAAAAAUAAUAAAUUGUGUAUUUUUAUAAGUUUAAGUAUAUAUGUAUGUGUGUAUUAUAAUUUUUUAUGUAAGUUUUAGGCAAAUAUUUCAAAAAACAUUACCUAUCUCAUAAGUUUCUUGCAGUUUCUUCUUAUGAGUAUUAAUCGAAACUGCGAAUUGUAAAUUAAUAUUUUAGCUAUUUAAGUUUCUUUUCAAAUCAGUCAUAUACAUGUCUUUGCAGCAUUUACAAAA